rnacentral:lncRNA from 1 species
CUGGUACGCCUUAGGCAUUGCAUCAGUGUUGAAGGCAGGCCGUGCUAGGCGCUUUGUUCGCUCAGAAGGCCGGGGCUCGUCUGCGCUUGAGGCACUUCGAGGUCCGAGGUCCGCGGGGAGAGCAGGGCAGGCCCGCGGAUUCCGACCCCCAGCGCCGCGGGCACGCGUCACCACGGAGGCGGGUCGGAGCUAUUACUGCCAAGCCAGGGGCAGGCGACGCCCGGCGGGGCCGCAGGGCUCGGAAAGCUUCGCAGAGGCUUGGACUUCGGCUGGGUCUGCAGAAUUCGACUGAAGGAGAAGGGCUCCAGAGGGACUUCCUGGGCACCUCCUCCCAAUCCGAGGAGCCCGAGCCCCGGAAGGCCAGCCGAUUCUCCGUGACCAGACAGUUCAGUUCCACGCGAAGGGGAAGCAUCCUCGGAACCGCCCGGGCAACGCAGGUUCCGCGGGGCGGGCGCCGCCUCCCACCAGACAGGCCCGGGGCGGUCAGAGCCCGCCUGGCAGGGAGCGCACCGACAGCUCCGGGAGAGCCUGGCAACCCUCGGGGUGAGAACCCAAACUUGAAGAGCCAGCAGUCCUGAAGAUCUCCACCUGGGCGCGGAGCCAGGCCCAGCGCGCAGCGCGCAACGCGGAGAAAAGACACAAGUGUACAGCUCGCUGAAUCUUCAUAAACUGAACUCUCCCAUGAGACCAACUCCCAGAAGAAACGGAACACUACCAGCCCCCGCAAACUCCCACACGCUCCCUUCCUGUCGCUACCGCAGCUGCCGAGUCACCGCUAUCCCGGCUUCUAACAGUAUAGAUUAGUUUUGCCUGGUUUGGAACAAUUAUCAAUGGACUGAUAUAGUAUGUCUUAUGUACCUGCCUUCUUUCGAUUGUGAAAUUUAUCCAUAUUGCUGCAUGUGGUUCUGGAUCGUUCACUCUCACUACUUUAGAGUAUUCCAUUGUGUGCACACACCACAAUUAAUUUAUCCAUUCUGCUGUUGAUGGGCUUUGGGGUAGUUUCUAGUUUUUGACCGUUGUGAAUAGUGCUGCU